GUGAGAUUAUAAUGCUUCUCAAGGUGUUCCCUUCCUCAUAAUGAAGCUCCAUCUGUUCUACAGAUGGAGCAGAGGAGCAUGCUACAGAGCACAGGGACUCAGCUACUGCCCCAGCCAGCCCAGGAGAUGGUGGCUGCCUUUGCAUGAAGAGCAUUUCACAGAUUUUGGCUAGGACUGAGCCAGAGGAAGAGCUUUCUGACUGAUUUUUUCAGGAAAACUCUGUGCCCUUGAAAUCACCAGCUGUAUUUUUUAUCCCAUCAUCUCUCAGCUACUAGCCCCAGCUUUGCCCCUGAUAGACAAAUUUCUACACUUUUCUUCUACGUCUUGCUGUCACGUUUUUGCUUCCAGGGCAAAGAGAAAUCUGUUGCAGCAAGGACUUAUGCUUUGAGGCACAACAAGAAUUCAAGAGGUCAGGUCCCAAAGGAUGGGAAAUGAAUUUAUAGGUCUUUGCUGCACAUUUCUGGGUCUUUUUCUUCAGAUAUCUGCAUGAGCUUUUGAGCCUAUGAAGUACUCAGUGGGGGUGAGCUCCUGUGUACACUGCCAGCCUCUGAAUGUUGGCCUCCACUGGUAUAAACUGACUGAGCAUCAGAAACCAAAGCACAGAAAAUGGAGCCACCUUUGAUGAUCUUCCUCUCCAUGCAUAAUCAAAAUAAUUAGAUUCACUUAACUAAACAAGUUUUAGUUCUACAACAGGAUAAGCACACUGAAUCUUUAGACAAUCCUCUAAGGCCGCUGGCAAUGGACUAACUCCAUUUAUGUGGUUUAACAUUUGCCUAACAGAAAGUACUGCUACUUUUCUCUUCUUGACAGGUAGAUAAUCCUAAGAGGUCUGACAACCGUAUUAACAUCCAAACCACAAACGAUGGGUAAUAUGAAAAGCUGGAUUUUCUGACAUACACCCUUUACAUCUGCUUUCUACAUCAGAGCCAGAAUUAGUUCUACUGUUGUGUUUGUAUUAAAUAUGUGGAUUAAUGGAGCUCAGCGAGAGUGCUGAAUAAGCUCUUCCCAUCUCCUGUGGCUUUGGACUGCAUCUUUCCAUGCAGAGACAAAUGUGUAGCUUGAUACAUUCUGUGUUUUGCACUUGGAAAAACUGUGGCUUGGUGCUAAAUCAAGUUCAGAAGAAGAUAUUCCAAACUUCUAUUAGAACUAAACAAAUUCGAGCUGGG
rnacentral:lncRNA from 1 species